AGUUAUAAAAUCAAAAGAAUCUUGCAAAAGACUAUGAUUAGCUAGCCAAUCUGCGCUUCUAUUGCCUUCUCGCCAUGUGUGUUGAAACUGAGUUUGUCAAUCCAUGUUGAUAAGCUCUUGAAUGCGCCGAAUCAGAAUGGGGGUGGCCCCAUUAAGAUUGCAUCUCCCUGUAACCAUAUCAAUUAGUAGUUUGGAAUCACUUUCCACAAUGAGGUGAGUAA
rnacentral:lncRNA from 1 species